AAGGAUGAGAAAAAAUGUGACCUCGACUGUGGAGUAAGUACCAUGAGGCGGCGAGGACGCUAAGUCAGUCGUGCAACAGCCGUCGCAGAGACAACAUCAUUAUGCGCGCCUCUCUCGUCCUCCUCGCUGGCGUCGUCCUCCUCGCCCUCCUGUGCGGGGCCGAGGCUCACCACUGCGGGGAUUGCAGCACCGUCUCCUGCCCGAGCACAGCCGACUGCAGCCACGGCACCCAGCUCGAACACUGCGGCUGCUGCGAAGUCUGCCUGAGGACUGCCGGCGAGCGUUGUGACCACCACGAUUACAAUGGCGGCAUUUGCAUAGGCUCACUGAAAUGCGUAAAGGACGUUUGUGUUUAGGACUGCUGAUCUUUGUAUACAAAUAAAAAAACGAUGAAGAAAGAGUGGAAAUAUUUCAAUGUUGCAUCCUACUAAUCAACAUCUUAAUGAAGAAUUUAAAACCUUGUUAUUCAUGUAAAUACAAGAUGGAAAAACACAUAUUGUACACUGCAAUACAAGAAUUACAUUACUGUCAA